rnacentral:lncRNA from 1 species
GCAUCGAAUUAUCCAACCUCAUCACCACACCCAGCUGCUAAGAUAUUUUCUUCUCUCCCCUCUCUUUCUCAACAAGUGUUUACAAAGAAUUGAAAUUUUUAUUAUUGUCUACAUAUAUAGUACUGCAUUAUUCUUCAAGCUUUUACUUCAUCAAAAGGUACGAGUCAAAUCAACAUUUACAUGAAACUCGCAGAAUUUGAUUUGUACAUAAAACAUUCAGGAUCUUGAACCGAUCAAGUGAUUAUUUAUCGGUAAGUAAUCAUUUUCCUUUUUCUGUCACAGAAUUAAUCAUAAACCAUAUCUUUUUAUUUUCUGUAGUUUUGUGUAUUGUAAUCUUUGUUUAUCUUUUCUUGCUUUGAUUAUCGUAAUAUUAUUUACUUGCAUUACAC